rnacentral:rRNA from 1 species
UACGUAGGGUGCGAGCGUUGUCCGGAAUUAUUGGGCGUAAAGAGCUUGUAGGCGGUUUGUCGCGUCUGCUGUGAAAUCUCAAGGCUCAACCUUGAGCUUGCAGUGGGUACGGGCAGACUAGAGUGUGGUAGGGGAGACUGGAAUUCCUGGUGUAGCGGUGAAAUGCGCAGAUAUCAGGAGGAACACCGGUGGCGAAGGCGGAUCUCUGGGCCUUACCUGACGCUCGAGGUGCGAAAAGCCUAGGGGAGCGAACAGG